rnacentral:rRNA from 1 species
GAUGAACGCUGGCGGCGUGCCUAAUACAUGCAAGUCGAGCGAACAGACGAGGAGCUUGCUCCUCUGACGUUAGCGGCGGACGGGUGAGUAACACGUGGAUAACCUACCUAUAAGACUGGGGAUAACUUCGGGAAACCGGAGCUAAUACCGGAUAAUAUAUUGAACCGCAUGGUUCAAUAGUGAAAGACGGUUUUGCUGUCACUUAUAGAUGGAUCCGCGCCGCAUUAGCUAGUAGACGGCUUACCAGCACGAUGCGUAGCCGACCUGAGAGGGUAUCGGCCACACUGGAACUGAGACACGGUCCAGACUCC